rnacentral:rRNA from 1 species
AGUGAACGCUGGCGGUAGGCCUAACACAUGCAAGUCGAACGGCAGCACAGUAAGAGCUUGCUCUUACGGGUGGCGAGUGGCGGACGGAUGAGGAAUACAUCGGAAUCUACUUUUUCGUGGGGGAUAACGUAGGGAAACUUACGCUAAUACCGCAUACGACCUACGGGUGAAAGCAGGGGAUCUUCGGACCUUGCGCGAUUGAAUGAGCCGAUGUCGGAUUAGCUAGUUGGCGGGGUAAAGGCCCACCAAGGCGACGAUCCGUAGCUGGUCUGAGAGGAUGAUCAGCCACACUGGAACUGAGACACGGUCCAGACUCCUACGGGAGGCAGCAGUGGGGAAUAUUGGACAAUGGGCGCAAGCCUGAUCCAGCCAUACCGCGUGGGUGAAGAAGGCCUUCGGGUUGUAAAGCCUUUUCGUUGGGAAAGAAAAGCAGCAGGUUAAUACCCCGCUGUUCUGACGGUACCCAAAGAAUAAGCACCGGCUAACUUCGUG